rnacentral:misc_RNA from 1 species
GAUGAAGAACGUAGCGAAAUGCGAUACGUAAUGUGAAUUGCAGAAUUCAGUGAAUCAUCGAGUCUUUGAACGCACAUUGCGCCCCCUGGUAUUCCGGGGGGCAUGCCUGUCCGAGCGUCAUUGCUGCCCUCAAGCACGGCUUGUGUGUUGGGCCUCCGUCCUCCUCCCGGGGGACGGGCCCGAAAGGCAGCGGCGGCACCGCGUCCGGUCCUCGAGCGUAUGGGCUUCGUCACCCGCUCUUGUAGGCCCGGCCGGCGCUUGCCGACACAUCAAUCUUUUUUCCAGGUUGACCUCGGAUCAGGUAGGGAUACCCGCUGAACUUAAGCAUAUCAAUAAGCGGAGGA